rnacentral:tRNA from 1 species
GGGGCCGUGAGGUAAUAGGUAACCUGGCCGGCUCCAGACCGGCUCCUCUGGGUUCAAGUCCCAGCGGCCCCA